rnacentral:rRNA from 1 species
CUGCGGCGUGCUUACCAUGCAAGUCGAACGAUGAAGCCCACUUGUGGGUGGAUUAGUGGCGAACGGGUGAGUAACACGUGAGUAACCUGCCCUUGACUCUGGGAUAAGCCUGGGAAACCGGGUCUAAUACUGGAUACGACCUUCCCGCGCAUGCGGUGUUGGUGGAAAGCUUUUGCGGUUUUGGAUGGACUCGCGGCCUAUCAGCUUGUUGGUGGGGUAAUGGCCUACCAAGGCGACGACGGGUAGCCGGCCUGAGAGGGUGACCGGCCACACUGGGACUGAGACACGGCCCAGACUCCUACGGGAGGCAGCAGUGGGGAAUAUUGCACAAUGGGCGCAAGCCUGAUGCAGCGACGCCGCGUGAGGGAUGAAGGCCUUCGGGUUGUAAACCUCUUUCAGUAGGGAAGAAGCCGCUCUUUUGGGGGUGGUGACGGUACUUGCAGAAGAAGCGCCGGCUAACUACGUGCCAGCAGCCGCGGUAAU